UGAGGAAUAUUGGUCAAUGGCCGAGAGGCUGAACCAGCCAAGUCGCGUGAAGGAAGAAGGAUCUAUGGUUUGUAAACUUCUUUUAUAGGGGAAUAAAGUGGAGGACGUGUCCUUUUUUGUAUGUACCCUAUGAAUAAGCAUCGGCUAACUCCGUGCCAGCAGCCGCGGUAAUACGGAGGAUGCGAGCGUUAUCCGGAUUUAUUGGGUUUAAAGGGUGCGUAGGUGGUGAUUUAAGUCAGCGGUGAAAGUUUGUGGCUCAACCAUAAAAUUGCCGUUGAAACUGGGUUACUUGAGUGUGUUUGAGGUAGGCGGAAUGCGUGGUGUAGCGGUGAAAUGCAUAGAUAUCACGCAGAACUCCGAUUGCGAAGGCAGCUUACUAAACCAUAACUGACACUGAAGCACGAAAGCGUGGGGAUCAAACAGGAUUAGAUACCCUGGUAGUCCACGCAGUAAACGAUGAUUACUAGGAGUUUGCGAUACAAUGUAAGCUCUACAGCGAAAGCGUUAAGUAAUCUACCUGGGGAGUACGCCGGCAACGGUGAAACUCAAAGGAAUUGACGGGGGCCCGCACAAGCGGAGGAACAUGUGGUUUAAUUUGAUGAUACGCGAGGAACCUUACCCGGGUUUGAACGUAGUCUGACCGGAGUGGAAACACUCUUUCUAGCAAUAGCAGAUUACGAGGUGCUGCAUGGUUGUCGUCAGCUCGUGCCGUGAGGUGUCGGCUUAAGUGCCAUAACGAGCGCAACCCUUAUCACUAGUUACUAACAGGUGAAGCUGAGGACUCUGGUGAGACUGCCAGCGUAAGCUGUGAGGAAGGUGGGGAUGACGUCAAAUCAGCACGGCCCUUACAUCCGGGGCGACACACGUGUUACAAUGGCAUGGACAAAGGGCAGCUACCUGGCGACAGGAUGCUAAUCUCCAAACCAUGUCUCAGUUCGGAUCGGAGUCUGCAACUCGACUCCGUGAAGCUGGAUUCGCUAGUAAUCGCGCAUCAGCCAUGGCGCGGUGAAUACGUUCCC
rnacentral:rRNA from 1 species